UGGGGAAUUUUGGACAAUGGGGGCAACCCUGAUCCAGCCAUGCCGCGUGAGUGAAGAAGGCCUUCGGGUUGUAAAGCUCUUUCGGCGGGGACGAAACGGUCCGUGACAACACCACGGACUAAUGACAGUACUCGCAGAAGAAGCACCGGCUAACUACGUGCCAGCAGCCGCGGUAAUACGUAGGGUGCAGGCGUUAAUCGGAAUUACUGGGCGUAAAGCGUGCGCAGGCGGCUCCUUAAGUCAGAUGUGAAAUCCCCGGGCUUAACCUGGGAACUGCGUUUGAAACUGAGGGGCUAGAGUGUGGAAGAGGGGGGUGGAAUUCCAGGUGUAGCGGUGAAAUGCGUAGAUAUCCGGAGGAACACCAGUGGCGAAGGCGGCUUUCUGGACCGACACUGACGCUGAGGCGCGAAAGCUAGGGGAGCAAACGGGAUUAGAUACCCACGUAGUCCCUGAGCGGGCUGGCAAGGCGCAU
rnacentral:rRNA from 1 species